rnacentral:rRNA from 1 species
UACGUAGGGUGCAAGCGUUGUCCGGAAUUAUUGGGCGUAAAGAGCUCGUAGGCGGUUUGUCGCGUCGGGAGUGAAAACCUACAGCUUAACUGUGGGCUUGCUUUCGAUACGGGCAGACUUGAGGCAUGCAGGGGAGAACGGAAUUCCUGGUGUAGCGGUGAAAUGCGCAGAUAUCAGGAGGAACACCGGUGGCGAAGGCGGUUCUCUAGGCAUGUUCUGACGCUGAGGAGCGAAAGUGUGGGGAGCGAACAGG